CUUUCAAAAACAAGGAUAGAGGAGAAAGCACAGCUCUCUCCCUAGCAAGACUCUGCUUUCUUGUGGGGCCUACAGAUUGGGCUGGCAGC